UGGCGUAAACAAAGGGAGGCGAAGGAGUAAUCCGGAGCGAACCCCAAAAAUAACGUCUCAGUUCGGACUGUGGUCUGCAACCCGACCACACGAAGCUGGAAUCGCUAGUAAUCGCGAAUCAGAAUGUCGCGGUGAAUACGUUCCCGGGUCUUGUACACACCGCCCGUCACACCAUGGGAGUCAGCAACGCCCGAAGUCAGUGACCUAACCGAAAGGGAGGAGCUGCCGAAGGCGGGGCCGGUAACUGGGGUGAAGUCGUAACAAGGUAAC
rnacentral:rRNA from 1 species